rnacentral:rRNA from 1 species
UACGGAGGGUGCGAGCGUUGUCCGGAAUCACUGGGCGUAAAGGGCGCGCAGGCGGCGCAGGAAGUCAACGGUGAAAGUUCGGGGCUCAACCCUGAAUCGGCCGUCGAUACUCCUGGGCUCGAGCACUGUAGAGGCAGAUGGAAUUCCGGGUGUAGCGGUGGAAUGCGUAGAGAUCCGGAAGAACACCGGUGGCGAAGGCAGUCUGCUGGGCAGUUGCUGACACUGAGGCGCGACAGCGUGGGGAGCAAACAGG